rnacentral:lncRNA from 1 species
AGUAUCUAUUUACAUCCUGACAGCGCUGUAGAUUACUGUCCUAUAGCUUAAGGGCUGCCCUGCAUUGGUCUAAAUGAGUACCACUCGCUUAGCCCUGUUGUCUGCUCAGGGCUCUCACUAGGGGGAAGUCCAUGAUCCCCUCAGGUUGAGGGAAUUCAGGGUGUAUGAGAAACAGUCACUAAGCCCAGAGUUUGCUGCUGGGUCCAAGGGAUGAGCCUCUUCCUUUAUACACUGGUGUUUUUAUUAUAUUAUUAGUGUGGUUUGUGGCUAAGAAAUAGUGUUGUGAUGAAAAUUUGAUUUGUUAGCAAAGAAGACAGCUAGCUGACAUGUGGUUUGAGGAGAGCCACCGGCCAUUUAAACAACGUCAUAAGGCUAUUUCUUUUGUGGGCCAGGGGCAGCUCUUGAUUAUGGUAACACUGUUUUAAGGUAAAGUGAUUUUUUUCCCCUUUCUCAAGGAUAAAAUCAGAGUAAGUUUUAUGAUUGAACAUUGUGACCACAGUGCACUGAUGUCCACCUGCUGGCACCUCAGUUAAGUCAAUAAGCAAUAAUUUUUAAAGCUGUGAUAUGUAUGCUAUAGGGCCUAAACUGAAUUAUAUUAAAGCUCUUCAUAUUGCAAGUUGUAGAACACUACUUUUUAUAAAGCCAUAUUUUUUUAGUGUGACUUAGAAGUGACAUAUUACUGGUAAAUGGCUGAAAUCAGUUUCUCUGAACUUCUGUAUGUAAUCUGUUUCAAAACUCUGGGAAGUGAGGGUUCAUUGUGGCCAACUUCAGAUACUUUGAUAAAAAAUAAUAUGUGAAUUAAUUAAUGAGCCUUGUCUCUACAAAUAUGUGCCAUGCUAUGCAACAGGGGUGGGUUGUCUGAAAAUAUGUCUUUUGUGCAAUGUUGCUUAAGAGCAAUAAAAUGGAGAUGAAUUCU